AUCACAGCAGGCUUUUGAGAUCUAGAAAGAAAAGCCCCCAGCUGCGUGCUCUGCUGCCUAGGGUGGAGGUUGGUCUCUGCUAAGGAUGGGCCAUCUCUGCCCUCUGCAUCCGCAUCGGCGGCAGCAAAACGGGGUUACAGAACCACACUUGGGAAGGGGGUGAACCCGAGUCUGGUCUUGGCUGCGAAGUUGUGGGACUGUGC
rnacentral:lncRNA from 1 species